rnacentral:tRNA from 1 species
GGCCCGUUGGUCAAGUUUAAGACACCGCCCUUUCACGGCGGUAACACGGGUUCGAAUCCCGUACGGGUCA